ACUCAGUUGGUAGAGUACAAAGCUCUUAACCUUGUGGACGUGGGUUCGAGCCCCAU
rfam:Triticum urartu cultivar G1812 contig1056132, whole genome shotgun sequence.